UGAUUAAUGCUUACUUGUGAUUUUAGGAUAACUGGAGAUAAUGAUUCCUUUUUUCCAUUGAUAUUACAUAAAUAUUUUCCUAAGUAUUAUGUUACAAUAAAUUGGUUUAGAUUUUUUUUUAUAAAAGUAAUCAAUAAUUACAAUGGAAAUUAAAACCAUAAUCAUGUUCAUUGAGGAUUUUCAAUAUGUAACAGGUCAAACAGGAACUUCAAUUGUGAACAUGGCAGAGAACACACCCAUCAGAAGAUGACCCUCAGAAAUAGGACAAUUAAUGAAUAAAAUGGACAGAGGCAGAACUGAAGGAGAUGCAUGAAAUGAGGAAUAUUUCAAAGAUUGCCUGAGCAUAACCACUGCUAUUGGAUAAACAUAUGGCAGUAUAAAAGAGCAGGGUCAAUGGAGGUAUCAUACAGUAUAGGCCAUGAGAGACCCUGAAGAAGAAAGAAACAAAAAUAAA